rnacentral:snoRNA from 1 species
GUCUGCUCACCCAUGUCCUUUAGCACAAAGGGGACAUGAACUCAUGUCUGGUGGAUGAACCAUGACCGUGGGAUCAGAGCGUGAUUGAUGGCUGAUUCGUUCUUCGGAAUUGUUCAUGGCUGUAGAGGAUCGUUCUCGGUUGGGAUUUCCUAGCUGGGGUGGUCCCACGGUUGUUUGACAGACU